rnacentral:rRNA from 1 species
UACGUAGGUGGCAAGCGUUGUCCGGAUUUAUUGGGUUUAAAGGGUGCGUAGGCGGCCCUGUAAGUCAGUGCUGAAAUACCCCGGCUUAACCGGGGGGGUGGCAUUGAUACUGCAGGGCUUGAGUACAGAUGAGGUAGGCGGAAUUGACGGUGUAGCGGUGAAAUGCAUAGAUAUCGGAAGGAACAUCAGUGGCGAAAGCGGCUUCCUGGACCAGCACCGACGUUCAGGCACGAAAGCGUGGGGAGCAAACAGG